AUGCUUGAUGAGAAUGCUUAUGCAUGUUGUAAUAGGGCUAAAUGCAUGCUUAACACCUAGGGUGUUACAGCACUGUGCUGGUCCUAGGCUAGACCGUGCUAGAGACGUGAGCCUAGGCACAGAUGAAGUCACAAUAUCGCAAGAAUAAUAAGAACAACAAGAGAUAACUUCCCUUCUUUUCCUCUUCCUUUCUUUUCUUUCCUUUUUUUCUAUUCUUUCCUUUUUCUUUUCUUUUUUUUUCUGAUAUUUUUUGUUUCUUUCUUUUUUUUCCUACUUUGCUCAACUAAAAUAAAUCUGAAUCUUGAUGGAUUAGAUUUCAGAAAACACACAAUGUCUUUAGUGUAACAAAAAUACAACUAGCAGAUUAUGAUGGUGACAUGAUGCUGCAGUAACACUGAUUGCAACGGGAUGAGAAAAAUAGAAUGUGAAAGAAGAGUGGAGGAGAGGCAAAAGGAUGCGCAUGAAGUGGACAAGGAUGCAAUGUUCUAAAAUUAGAUGCCCAAGAGUGGAAUGAAUCUAGUGGUUGCAAUAGGAUGCUGAUUAAAAAUAGGAUGCUGAUUAUAGAAUGUGCAAGAGCGCUUACAAUAGGAUGUAUGAAUGGAAGAAAGGAACAUGCAGGUAGAAGUGAGUAAGAAUAGGUUGCUCACGGGUGGAAGUGAAAACGUGCAUGCAAUGGCCUAAAAAUAUAGGGUGCGCAUGAGUGAAAAGAGAGUGGUGGAUGGAGUUUACACGGUGCCCAAGUAGGGUGGUGAUGGUAGUUCAGAUAUAUAGUGUAGUCCAAAUGUAUAUGGUAAUAGUGUUGCAGCGGAGAUUAUACGAUGGGCAAUGACUAAAACGUGACAAAAACUCGAAACUCUAAAAGUCUAAACCUAAGACCAGCAACUCGACUCAACCGAUGUAAAUCAAACACAACAAGCCUGAACUAAGUAGUACUAGUAAAAGGCUCAAAGGGUCUAUAGGAUGGUAGAAAUGAAAGUACUAUUUUUCUUGGCUUUUUCUAGGCAAUAGGAAAAAAAUGCAAACUAAAUUCUCUCACCGAUGAAUCCUUGAUCUGAUACCACUUAAUAAGAACGAGGGUGUCCCGAUCUUUCGGUGGAGAUGGAUAACUUCGAUCUCUCUGGAGCGACGUUCACGAUCCGACUACAACCGUCCAAGGAUGCUGCGCCUUAGCGAUCGAUACACCAAUUCCAGCGGUUGAUCACGAUCUUGUUGAUCACAACCAACCAAACCACUAGGGUAAUUCCUGCACGCAAUCGAAGAACAUGCAAGAACAGAUAGAACAGGCACUCAAUUGCCAAAUAAUACAAGAAGGAUCUGAUAUGAAUCACGAUAACAAUAUGGGGUUUUGAAUCAAGUAGAACGGAUGGUCUAGUCGACACAUGCGUCUACAAGGAAGUAGCAAUGGCUAAACUUACAACAAAACAAAACCCGUCUUGUGUCUCUGGCUGUAGAAGCCUUUAUGUACAAGAGAGAGCAACCAGAGUGUGCGGUGCUAAUCCCUCGACUCACUAAAAACAAAAGAAAACAAUAAUAUCCAUAUCAUGCAUG
rnacentral:lncRNA from 1 species